AUUUAAACAUAAAUUUCAGAAUACAUUGUCGAACAAAAGUUGGUUGUCCUAAUUAUGGCCGUUGUAAAUACUAAAAAAUACACUCAAACUGAAUAUAUGUGAAUUGUAUAAGAUUAAAUGAUAAUAAUAUACCUAAUCCUUUGUACACGACCUAAAAACACUUUCAUUUAUGAAUAAAGAUAAAAAAAUGUCGCAUUUUUAUAUAGUAACACCACUGACCCUUCAGUAACUCCAAUGACACAAAAGUAUCACCAUUGACAUCACAUUUCAAAUUUUACCUUUAUCAAGUACUGAACACAAAGCCAAGAUCACCGGGCAAAAGAAAAAGAUGAAAAAAUAAUUCUUAGGCUAAAAAAUCUCAAAUUAUAUAACAUAACAUCCAUAACUAAAAAUGUCAAUAGUGUUAUUAAAUAGUGUCAUUGGUGUUACCAGCAU
rnacentral:lncRNA from 1 species